AGUGAACGCUGGCGGUAUGCCUAACACAUGCAAGUCGAACGGCAGCACAGUAAGAGCUUGCUCUUACGGGUGGCGAGUGGCGGACGGGUGAGGAAUACAUCGGAAUCUACUUUUUCGUGGGGGAUAACGUAGGGAAACUUACGCUAAUACCGCAUACGACCUACGGGUGAAAGCAGGGGAGCUUCGGACCUUGCGCGAUUGAAUGAGCCGAUGUCGGAUUAGCUAGUUGGCUGGGUAAAGGCCCACCAAGGCGACGAUCCGUAGCGGGUCUGAGAGGAUGAUCGGCCACACUGGAACUGAGACACGGUCCAGACUCCUACGGGAGGCAGCAGUAGGGAAUCUUGGGCAAUGGGCGCAAGCCUGAUCCAGCCAUACCGCGUGGGUGAAGAAGGCCUUCGGGUUGUAAAGCUCUUUUGUUGGGAAAGAAAAGCAGCAGGUUAAUACCUCGCUGUUUUGACGGUACCCAAAGAAUAAGCACCGGCUAACUACGUG
rnacentral:rRNA from 1 species